rnacentral:rRNA from 1 species
UGGGGAAUAUUGGACAAUGGGCGAAAGCCUGAUCCAGCAAUACCGCGUGUGUGAAGAAGGCCCUAGGGUUGUAAAGCACUUUUGUUAGGGAGAACGGGUAUUAUGGUUAAUAACCAUAGUAUCUGAUGUUACCUAAAGAAUAAGCACCGGCUAACUCCGUGCCAGCAGCCGCGGUAAUACGGAGGGUGCAAGCGUUAAUCGGAAUUACUGGGCGUAAAGGGCGCGUAGGUGGUAUCUUAAGUUGGGUGUGAAAGCCCCGGGCUCAACCUGGGAAUUGCAUCCAAAACUGGGGUACUAGAGUGUGGUAGAGGGUAGCGGAAUUUCUGGUGUAGCGGUGAAAUGCGUAGAUAUCAGAAGGAACAUCAAUGGCGAAGGCAGCUACCUGGGCCAACACUGACGCUGAGGCGCGAAAGCAUGGGGGAGCAAACAGGAUUAGAUACC